UACGAAGGGUGCUAGCGUUGCUCGGAAUUACUGGGCGUAAAGGGUUUGUAGGCGGUCUCUUAAGCCAGUGGUGAAAGCCCAAGGCUCAACCUUGGAAUUGCCAUUGGUACUGGGAGGCUAGAGAGUGUUAGAGGUAAGUGGAAUUCCUAGUGUAGGAGUGAAAUCCGUAGAGAUUAGGAGGAAUAUCGAUGGCGAAGGCAGCUUACUGGGACAUUUCUGACGCUGAAAAACGAAAGCGUGGGUAGCAAACAGG
rnacentral:rRNA from 1 species